UGUGGAAGGGAGGCUAGCCGGCCAGAGCAGCAGGAGCAAGGAGGCGGGGUCGACCGUGGCAACUGGAACAGCUGCUGGUUAGCCUGACACACUGCCUCAGCCAUGUCUCCUCUAAUGCAGCCCAGACGCUCAAGAGAGGUAGUUGUGCCGUCACUGGUGGCGAGUUCAGCGGCCGCCCCCUCCUCUUCUCUUCGAACCCAGCCCUCUCUUGAGUAUGUCGUGCCCUCUACUACGGUAAAGCACCAGGUCCACGUGAGCUCCUCCUUCAACCCGCGUAUGUGAUUUCUUCCUUUUCCAUGAAUGCACACAUCUAAAGCGUUUUUUUGGGUUCCCUCAUCUAAAUUUCUUCUGAAGUGUGCAGAUUGUUAUUCAUUAUCUGGGAGGACACUAUUCUUUUCAAGGACUCAUUAGUCACAGAAUAUUUAGCUGGCAAGAUACAAAUUUUAUGAUUCAUCCAUCUCUCCAAUUCUGACCUUACAUAUCAACCUGUCUCCAUGUACCCUUCUAUAUCUGGUGCUGCUACUUUUUUUUCCUUACAUGGAUAUAUGUAUGAGAUUUCUUUGUUUAGGUAUAUUUGUGCCUGAAAGAAGUUUACAUCUAUUUUCUUGUUAGAUGAUCCUGAAUGAGAAUACUUAUGAGAUCGCAUGAAUGAGAUGUUGACGCCCUGUAUGCUCCAAAAUUGUAUCAUUCUUCCCACACAAUGGUUAGAAUCCCAGUUGUUGAAUCACAAUAGACAAGACCAUAUUUCCCAUUUUCUAUAGUCCAACUAAUAAUACAUAUUGAGCCUGGUGAUGGUUAUUGAUAUAUUGUGAUAGUAGUUUCCUGCAUUAAUUAGUUAAUGAGCCACCCUUUCGUUUUCAACUCAAAGUGCUGCAGCAGUUAAAUAGAUGUGUUCGUGCCAUUUAGCCCCAAAAUUUAGUUCAGUUCGGCUGUACAUCUAUUGCCGACCCCUUUUCUUAGUACUGAUUGACCUUUAUGUGUUAAUAUUUUUAUUGACUUCAUUUUUUCCUUUAGUCCUUCCUCUUGGUGUAUAUUCCUGAUUGUGUGAGUUCCUUUCGUGGUAUGGUAUUUAUGAUUCAGACCAUUCCAUAACAAAAUGCAUAUAUGGCCUCAUGCAUGUUUAUUGCUUGCCUGUGUAUCAUUGUGUUCUUAUCGGUUGUUUUCUGUGCGUUUCGUAGGAUGUGCGAUCUCUUCUGCCGCUACGUCUCCAUUCGACUCGCCAAGGUUUGUUGUUCUCCUUUUUACAUGUGUGUGUAUUUUGCUUUCACUAUCUGCUAUAUCAUGAUAUCUGCCUUCAUGAUCGUUUAAAUAUUAUUAUGGUGUCUGCCAUGCUGAUCGUUUAAAUAUUUUGGAUACGGCAGGGCAUUAUGUGGUGUUCUUCUCUUGCUACUUACAGUUCGUGUAUGCGUGUGAGCAGGAUCUAUGCACUUGUUUCCGUUGUUAUACUUGUUUUGGAGACUGAGGUAGCUCGGUGUGCUUUGCCGUCGCUUUCGUGUAUGUGUGAGGUUGUAGACAACGGUUCUGUUCUUGCUGGUGUAGAACUCGAGCUCCCAGGGGACGGUUCUACUCCAGUGCCAUAAAGAGAUUUUUUCUGAGCUCGGCUUUGUGUGGUUUUAUGAAUGGCUAUGAGUAGGCUGCUCUACAGGUCUUGCGUAUUUUGCAAGGUUUAUAUGGACUUUUCGUUCAUGACAAUAACUAUGAAUGUAUGAUGGCCUAUAGGAGAUCUUUCUGUCCAAGAACAUUGCGAUUUCUUUGAUUCCUACUAUGCUAUUUACUCAGUCUGCAGGCCAGCAUAUUAUUUAGAUUCUUCCUAACUACCUUACUUCGAAGCUCAGUACUGGUCUCCUUCAAGCUACAACCCCAAGGCGAGCUCUGGUGGUCAAGCUGAUGCUUCUUCGCCUCCUGUUGAAGAAAAGGAUGAUAAGGAUGUCCGGGCUUGAGUGACCAGGAACAAGUGGUGCUGCUUUUUAUGCUGUCCAUCUAUAUAUGCAUCCCUUCAGUUUGUACAGACAAAACAAAUAUUCAUUUCUGACUAGAACAAAACUUGCAGUUAAGAAACUCUGCUGCUGGAAAGGGAGCUGGGGUACUAAACAGAAUAUAGAUUGAGCCUGCCAGUUCUUUUUAAUCCAAUGGCCUGUAUUUUUUGCAGCAAUCGUCUUUUAUGUCUGGUUCCCAAAGUUAUUAGUUAGCCUGCCUAUUUCUCGCCGUUUGAUAACCUAUAUUAUAACUAUAGAGAAUAUAGUUUGAGCCUGCCAGUUCUUCUGCCUUGGAUAUGAAAUAAUGAGGCAGUUUUAAUAUUUGUCGUAGAUUCACCUGAGUUUAUUUUAAACUACAGGAUGCAUCACUGAUGGAGAAAUACCUUACAGAAUGAUGCUGAGCCCCAUCUGGAUUGGAACCUUUUUGGAGCUGCUUAUGCUUGGUGCGGAGCGGGAAGCCUAUGAUAGCAACAGUAUUGGACUCCAUAGAACUGGAACUCUAUACCUUUCUUAUGUAGCUCUUCCUUUUGUUGUCUUCCCUAGAAGGGGAUGAUGUAGUUUUUCUGAAUUACAUGUCUCCGCUUUGUUCUACGGCAGAUGCUUCUACUCUAGAAUGGUAGCAACAAUACUGGACUCCACUGAGAACUAGAACACUAUACCUUUCUUGUGUAGCUCUUCCUUUCGUAGUCUCUGCUGGAAGGUGGAGAUGUAGUUUUCCAUUUGUUCUAUGACAGAUGCUUCUACACUGGAAUGGAACCUUUUUGGAGAUUCAACA